rfam:Gossypium hirsutum cultivar TM-1 chromosome 4, whole genome shotgun sequence
AUCUCGUGGUGAAGGCAUCUACGUAGUAACUCCUUGAAUCUUUCUCACGCUUCCUAUAAGGACUCAUCAUCCAUUUGUUGGAAAGUGGUGAUCUCAUUCUACAGGUU